rnacentral:rRNA from 1 species
GACGUAGGGUGCAAGCGUUGUCCGGAAUUACUGGGCGUAAAGGGCGCGUAGGCGGCCUGUUAAGUGUAUAGUGAAAGCCCGGGGCUCAACCCCGGAACUGCUGUGCAUACUGGCAGGCUUGAGGGAUGCAGAGGCUUGUGGAAUUCCUGGUGUAGCGGUGAAAUGCGUUGAUAUCAGGAGGAACACCCAUGGCGAAGGCAGCAAGCUGGGCAUCAUCUGACGCUGAGGCGCGAAAGCGUGGGGAGCAAACAGG